GACGAACGCUGGCGGCGUGCUUAACACAUGCAAGUCGAACGGAAAGGCCUCUUUCGGGGGGUACUCGAGUGGCGAACGGGUGAGUAACACGUGAGUAACCUGCCCUUGACUUUGGGAUAACUUCAGGAAACUGGGGCUAAUACCGGAUAGGAGCUCCUGCUGCAUGGUGGGGGUUGGAAAGUUUCGGCGGUUGGGGCUGGACUCGCGGCUUAUCAGCUUGUUGGGGGGGUAGGGGCUUACCAAGGCUUUGACGGGUAGCCGGCCUGAGAGGGUGACCGGCCACAUUGGGACUGAGAGACGGCCCAGACUCCUACGGGAGGCAGCAGGGGGGAAUAUUGCACCAGGGGUGGAAGCCUGAUGCAGCAACGCCGUGUGCGGGAUGACGGCCUUCGGGUUGUAAACCGCUUUCGCUCAUGACGAAGCUUUGUGUGACGGUAGUGGGUAAAGAAGCACCGGCUAACUACGUG
rnacentral:rRNA from 1 species